AGAAGUGAGAAUGCCGGUGUGAGUAGCGAAAGACGGGUGAGAAUCCCGUCCACCGAUUGACUAAGGUUUCCAGAGGAAGGCUCGUCCGCUCUGGGUUAGUCGGGUCCUAAGCUGAGGCCGACAGGCGUAGGCGAUGGAUAACAGGUUGAUAUUCCUGUACCACCUAUAAUCGUUUUAAUCGAUGGGGGGACGCAGUAGGAUAGGCGAAGCGUGCGAUUGGAUUGCACGUCUAAGCAGUAAGGCUGAGUAUUAGGCAAAUCCGGUACUCG
rnacentral:rRNA from 1 species